UUCAGUCCUCCCCACAAUCCUGUGCGGCAGCUACAAGCACGGCCCCCACGGUCCCGGAGAGAAACUGAGAUACAGAGAGGAGUGAGGACAUGAAUGAGUGAAUGGGUGAAGGGACGAGAACUGGCCUGUGAGGAUGCUGCAGCCCAGCUGGAGAGCAGGCCCAGAAGCCAGCAAGCAGAAGCCUGGCCACUUUAAACGUGGAGAUGCUUAGCUGGGAGGAGCAAGACGGCCGUGAGCAGGAGACGGGGUAGGGGAUGAACAGAGGGACCAGGACUGCACGGGAAGCUGCUGAACGGAGGGUGGGAAGACCGGGUGCCCUAUACACGGCUGCACCCACCACCCCCACGCUCGCUCCAUGCCCACCCCACUCCGGCAGGCGCCAUGCCAUCUGCCCAGGCCCCAGACAAGUCUCCAAGGCAGCAGCUGAGGCUGCCCCUUGUUCCUCCUUCUCAGCGCUACCAUCCCAGUCAGGGACACAGGUCUGGUGGCCCCUGGCCUGGCAGCUCCCACGUUCAGGCCCGACUUCCUCUGCCUCCACACUGCCCGUGCACCUGACCUUGAGAUAAAAGGUAGAACUUAUCGCCUGUCCUUGCCUUGCCUGAGUCUGCAGGUCACCCCCAGCCCAGCAGCUCGCUCACCGCGGUGCCCGUGCCUGGUGAGUGGCAGAGCCAGGUUCAAGCCCAGCUCUGUCAGCCCCAGCCUCCUUUUGCUCAGCCCCUGCCCCCUGGUGCCCACCCACAGGCCGCACCCAGAUCCUGCCUGCAAGCCAGGCUUCUCAGCCGCUGGGCAGCCGAGGGAACGUUGAUACUGUUGAACACCUGGUCCUUAAGGCACCUGGAGCAUCCAGGGAUGCCAGGCAGGGAGGCAGGAAGGGGAACUCUGGGGGUCUGGCCAGAAAGAGAGGGACACAGCCAUGGUGGGACUGACCCUAGAAGACGAGGAAGCAGAGAAACCCCACAGCCCCUGUGGUGUGGGAAGCCAGGCCGCAGGGUGACAUGGACAGGGAGACAGGGCCCAGCAAGGCCUCGGAAGACACUUCCUGCAUCCUGGCACUUCUUACCAAUCUGCUGCCCCCAGCUAGCAGGAAGUCCCUGAGGCCCAGUGCGGAGGAGGGUGCCUCUCCAGAGGAGCGAGGAGAUCAGAAGAAGGGGCCAGUAAAUCACAGUGGUAGCCUCCCUCUGCUCUCCAUGCACCAGGGAGCCCCGAUGUGGGUCACGGUCCUCCAGGACCCCCACACCUGGCCAGGCUCCCUCCAACCAGGCCUGGCCCCCUCUGCCAGGAAGGGGACAGUUGGGGAGAGGGAGGUCUCACACCAGACUCCGGCUCCACCAUACCAGCCUGGCUUCCCCUUCCAGCCGACAACACACAUAUGUGCACACACAUGUGCAAACACAGCCAGGCACACACACGGCAAGGACAGCUGCCAGCUAUGACCACCCCAGCAUCCCCGCUCACACUGCAGCCACCUCGGAGGGACGGUGCCCGGCUUUAUGCUUCACGGGGCAGCCCCUCUGCCCUCGACUUCUUCCUAGAAGCCAAACUUUGUCCUAAGGAAAUCUAGUUAAAACGAGGGCCAGGGCCCUACUAGAGGGACAAUGGAGAUGCCAGGCAGCCAUACCAACCACCGUUCCUCCAGCCACAGUCCCCACACAGAGGCACAAGGGUGAAGGUCAGCCCGAGAGCCCAGCCCCUUCCACCCUCCUGCAGCUUCCUGUGCCAUGGGAGCCUGAAGCAGGGGAGAAAUGUGCAGUUGGUUCUAAUGCCGCUUCACCUCUGUGUGGCCUUGAGCAAGCCUCUUGGCCUCUCUGAGCCUCAGCAUCAUUGUUGACAGUAGAAGAGCCAGGCACAAAGUAAAUACCAGCAUCCUGAACUCCAUCCAGAGGGGAAAGUGCCAAAAGGCCUCCCGCCCUAUCUCAGGGUUAACAUGGGUAAGGGCGGGACCCCGGCCCCUGUCUGUUCCCAGUUCACAGCUCUCACGCUGAUGUCGUCACUUCACACAGGGCAUGGUGGGCUUGGAGCAGAGAACACGCCCAUGUGCACACCAGAAUGCACACCCGGGUGUGUGUGACACCAGCACCCUCGUACCCCUCGUCACCUCUCACUGCUCCUAGCUCGCUCCUUCCCCCACACCUCUCCUGGCAACUGAGAUCUUCCACACACGCAUGAGCAACACACCUGAGCAGUGUGCAGAGCGGUUCUAAAUGCUGCCUACAUGCACACGGACAACAAACUGUGUCUCCAGCUCCAGGCUUGGGUUACUGAAGCCUCGAUGUCCAGCAACGAUGUCAAGCUCAGGCGGCUGCCCCACCUCUCUUCCCUGUCCCCAAAGCCCUCCGCGGGCACUGGCAACACCCACCUCACUGGGCUUCCUGCCUCAUAUUUGCUCCCAAAUCAU